rnacentral:rRNA from 1 species
GACGUAGGGCGCGAGCGUUGUCCGGAUUUAUUGGGCGUAAAGAGCUCGUAGGCGGUCUGUCGCGUCUGCUGUGAAAACCUAGGGCUUAACUCUGGGCGUGCAGUGGGUACGGGCAGGCUAGAGUGCGGUAGGGGGAGACUGGAAUUCCUGGUGUAGCGGUGAAAUGCGCAGAUAUCAGGAGGAACACCGGUGGCGAAGGCGGGUCUCUGGGCAGUAACUGACGCUGAGGAGCGAAAGCGUGGGGGAGCGAACAGG